UACGGGGGGGGCAAGCGUUGUUCGGAAUUACUGGGCGUAAAGGGCUCGUAGGGGGCCAACUAAGUCAGACGUGAAAUCCCUCGGCUUAACCGGGGAACUGCGUCUGAUACUGGAUGGCUUGAGUUCGGGAGAGGGAUGCGGAAUUCCAGGUGUAGCGGUGAAAUGCGUAGAUAUCUGGAGGAACACCGGUGGCGAAGGCGGCAUCCUGGACCGACACUGACACUGAGGAGCGAAAGCCAGGGGAGCAAACGGG
rnacentral:rRNA from 1 species